AGCCCAGACUCCUACGGGAGGCAGCAGUGGGGAAUAUUGCACAAUGGGGGAAACCCUGAUGCAGCGACGCCGCGUGAGUGAAGAAGUAUUUCGGUAUGUAAAGCUCCAUCAGCAGGGAAGAUAAUGACGGUACCUGACUAAGAAGCCCCGGCUAACUACGUGCCAGCAGCCGCGGUAAUACGUAGGGGGCAAGCGUUAUCCGGAUUUACUGGGUGUAAAGGGUGCGUAGGUGGCAUGGCAAGUCAGAAGUGAAAGCCCGGGGCUCAACCCCGCGGACUGCUUUUGAAACUGUCAGGCUGGAGUACAGGAGAGGUAAGCGGAAUUCCUAGUGUAGCGGUGAAAUGCGUAGAUAUUAGGAGGAACACCAGUGGCGAAGGCGGCUUACUGGACUGUAACUGACACUGAGGCACGAAAGCGUGGGGAGCAAACAGGAUUAGAUACCCUAUACG
rnacentral:rRNA from 1 species